rnacentral:rRNA from 1 species
UACGUAGGGUGCAAGCGUUGUCCGGAAUUAUUGGGCGUAAAGAGCUCGUAGGCGGUCUGUCGCGUCGGCUGUGAAAACUCGGGGCUCAACCCCGAGCCUGCAGUCGAUACGGGCAGACUAGAGUCCGGCAGGGGAGACUGGAAUUCCCGGUGUAGCGGUGAAAUGCGCAGAUAUCAGGAGGAACACCGGUGGCGAAGGCGGGUCUCUGGGCCGGAACUGACGCUGAGGAGCGAAAGCGUGGGGAGCGAACAGG